rnacentral:rRNA from 1 species
ACAUGCCUACAACAUAGUGUUAAUCCAUCAGAUCUCAUUAGAACUCCACAGUUAAUUGUGCUCAGGCUAGAGUAGUACUCGGAUGGGUGACCGCUUGAGAAGUCCUAGUAUUUUGCAUGCC